UACGGGGGGGGCAAGCGUUGUUCGGAAUUACUGGGCGUAAAGGGCUCGUAGGCGGCCAACUAAGUCACACGUGAAAUCCCACGGCUCAACCGUGGAACUGCGUGUGAGACUGGAUGGCUUGAGUUUGGGAGAGGAAUGCGGAAUUCCAGGUGUAGCGGUGAAAUGCGUAGAUAUUGGGAGGAACACCAGUGGCGAAGGCGGCUCACUGGACCGGUACUGGACGCUGAGACGCGAAAGCGUGGGGAGCGAA
rnacentral:rRNA from 1 species